AAGCAUAAUAUUGAAACUAAUUUAAUCUUUUGAACUGCAUUUAUCAAAACCUGGUUAAGCUGUACAAUAUUAAGCCGCAUAUUUAAGAGUUAUUCAGUUUGUGCAAGACCCCCUUGUUCACUAUGUGUUUUGGUUUCGCUCUAGUGUAAUUGCUCAACUGGCUGUUUGUGAUUGUUUCUGUCUAUUUCAGACUGUCCAACCGAAAGGAAUCGGAUGGAAAAAGUCAGCAGCCGGACAGACGACUAUCAGGGCCAUCAGCAGCAGUUGCAACUGCGAGGGAGCAGCAACAAAUGAUUUAGAAAAUGAUUUAUGGCACACUCAUCUAAUUACCAGGACCCGCAGAGUGGACCCAGGAACCAGCAGGACCAGGAGCAGGCGGCAAAAAGCCAUGGCCAUGCGAAGGACCCUACUCUCGGAUGACAAUUGCGUUCCCAACCAUUUCCCAUUUGUAGCCAAUGUUUGCUGCUGUGGGUGUGGCAUGAGUGUGUUUGUCAGCAACAUCAUUGGCGACAUUAAUGACAUACGCCAUCAGUCCGAUUCUUAUGGGUGGCAGUUUCAGUUCCCAGUUCCCAGUCCCGAGAUCCCCAUCAUCCCCAUCAUCCCCAUCAUUUCCAUCAUCGUGUAGUUCCCAAGCCUUUUUCCGCGACUGCAUCGCAUCAAUCGUCAUCAGUUGCGAAUGUGUUGCGGCUGUAAAAUGGGUAUCGUAUUAGUAUCGCAUCAAUUAUAAUUUCCAGCUGACAUGCGAAUAGCUUCCGGAUUUGUUGCAAUUUUUCUGCCCCUCUCUGUUGCCACUUUGAUUGCCAGUGUGAUUGACGUUUUAGCCAGGCAUUGUGGUGUGUUUGCCAUUCAGCAUAACCAUUUCCCACCCACUUUGUGGGCCUCGAUUCGAAUUUAAUUCACGCUGCCGGCACGUGGAUAAAAAGCCCAAUAUUUGAUUGAAUGUUUUUUGUUUCUCCCUAUUGAUUUACCAUUAUGCGUUUGGGCACUAUGUCAGCCGAUCGGGGGUGUAGUCGAUGGCUAAUGAUUGUUUCGGUGUGAUUAUAUCGCAAAUGUGACUAAAUAACAUCGAAAUGUCUGUCAAACUAAGUAAUAAGCAUCUUACCUACUCACAAAUGUUCAUAUGAUAAACAAACUAGUAAAUUUUUUUUGAUUUUUCUAAAGACUUACUUUUUUUGCAAUGUUCAGUCAGCAUGGGUUUAAAAUCGAUGCCGCCUUCUUAGUAUUCCGAGCAAACUCCUGUCCAAGCCGAAACCGAGACGGGAACAAAUCAAAAACUAAUUCCAGCUCACCGGUGGAAACAUCCUUGAACAAACCGAGAACAGGAUUUCAAAGCUUUUCAUUGCCGACGGCAACAUCCUCGACAACUUCUUGCUCCUUGGAAUCUGUCAGAAAAAUAAACAAAACUGCGAAUUUUAUCGUCGUGAACGUUUAUGCACAAAUUGCUUCCAGGUUUUAGCGCUGUCGUGUCUGUCGCCUUAUCGAAUUUCAGGACAAGGAUGCCGCAGACGCAACUCCAUCGCGAUGCAGGAUUCCGGCUCCUAUUCUGCGGAGGAUUCGGCGGUGGAGUAAAGUUUUCCUGCUCAAGGCGUAAAAUGAAAUCGACAGUAAUUUGUGUGUUAUCUGUCUCCCUCUGACGCAAUGCUACAUCUGUUGGAAUAACAAUUGUGACAACUUUUCCCAAUCCCCGCCAGCUCCUCUAUACUAUAUAUACAAUGUACGUGUGUGCGGUGUCGGUACAAGUUCAGCAACAACAGGAAAUUACUUUAAUUCGAAAAGUUGACUUUAUCAAACUAUGAUAUCUAAACGACGGCUGGUGUUAAUGUGGGCGACAAAUAUUGUAUUCCCCGACUUGGGUUCAAUAAGCCCCGGCAUCAUCAUAUUGUCAUCUCAAAGGCGGCAGUUGGCUGGGCAGGGAGUUGAAUAUAAGCAGCUCCGGCAGCCCCUAAGUCACUUUGAUGGCGCAUAACAUUUAAAUCAGUUCAUUCUGCUGGCGUUUCUGGAAGGGGCGAGUCCCAUACUUUCUGUGCCUUACUUUCAAACACCCCAGUUUGUGUGAUAAAUACAGACAUAUAUCUGAUGGUUUGGGAAACGAAAUACUGGGGUUAAUUCGGAGUUAAAGCUGAAGGUGAUAGGUCAAGUUUCUAUCUAGUUUCUAUCUUGCGUUUUAUCUCUAUUAAGUGGAUAAUCGUAUUUGAGGUUACAGUACAACUUGGAUUGCAGAUGCAGAAAUUAAACAAAUAGUUUGUGAAGCACA